rnacentral:rRNA from 1 species
AACCAGCACCUCAAGUGGUCAGGAUGAUUAUUGGGCCUAAAGCAUCCGUAGCCGGCUCUGUAAGUUUUCGGUUAAAUCUGUACGCUCAACGUACAGGCUGCCGGGAAUACUGCAGAGCUAGGGAGUGGGAGAGGUAGACGGUACUCGGUAGGAAGGGGUAAAAUCCUUUGAUCUAUUGAUGACCACCUGUGGCGAAGGCGGCCCCCUGGACAGAUACUGACACUCAGAUGCGAAAGCGUGGGGAGCAAACAGG